rnacentral:rRNA from 1 species
GAUCAUGGCUCAGGACGAACGCUGGCGGCGUGCUUAACACAUGCAAGUCGAACGAAGAGCGAUGGAAGUUUGCUUCUAUCAAUCUUAGUGGCGAACGGGUGAGUAACGCGUAAUCAACCUGCCCUUCAGAGGGGGACAACAGUUGGAAACGACUGCUAAUACCGCAUACGAUCUGACCUCGGCAUCGAGGAUAGAUGAAAGGUGGCCUCUAUUUAUAAGCUAUCACUGAAGG